UCAAAGUUUUAUCCUGACUUAAAUUCUCAGUUUUAAAUUAAGGUACAUGUAAACGUUAGUGUGACUAUAGCAAAGAAAAUAAUCUUAAAGAUAAUAGCUUUAAUACAUUUAUAAAAUAUUAAUUAUAAAUAAAGCCUCAGUACCUAAUACUAAAAAAUAAAUGAAAGUUUGAGUUGGUUAUUUUAAUUAAAAGAUAAUAACCGGUCAAAAUUUGUGCCAGCAGCCGCGGUUAGACUGAGGGUUAAAUUGAGAACUUAUUAGUUAAAAGUAAUUAAGCGUACUUUAUAUUACAAUAAUAAAUAAUCUGCGUUAAUAAAAGGUGAAAUUAGGUUUUUAACUAGCAAAUUAUUUACUUUAUAAGGUAAUAAAUGCUGAAGUUAUUAAAAUAAAGAUAUAAACUAGGAUUAGAUACCCUAUUAUACUUUACUUAAAAUAGUAUUACUAGGGUAGUAAACAGCUAUAAUCUUGAAACUCAAAGGAUUUGGCGGUAGCUUAGUCUGCUUAGAGGAACCUGUCCUAUAAACGACAAACCACGAAUUAUCUUACCUUAUUUUGUAAAAUAUCAGUAUGUAUACCGUCAUUAUCAGAUAACUUUACCAAAAUUUUAGUUAUUGAAAUAAAAUUUUUUUUUAGAAUAUUAGAUCAAGGUGCAGCUAAUAAUAAGGUAGAGAUGGGUUACAAUAAACAAAAUUAAAACGGAUAAGAAUUAUAAAAUAUUCUUUAAAGGAGGAUUUAAAUGUAAAAGUAUUUUAAUAAGUUACUUUGACUUUAGCUCUAAGCUAUGCACACAUCGCCCGUCGCUCUCGUUAAUUAAAGCGAGAUAAGUCGUAACAUAGUAGGUGUACUGGAAAGUGUACCUAGCUGGCA
rnacentral:ncRNA from 1 species